AGCUAUAAACCAUAUAUGUUGGCUUAAAUGGGCCAGCAUCCUGCCCUGUGGCGGGAGGCCAUGUGGGCCGAGUCAUGUUCGAAAUGGCAUGAGGCUGGGUUGGGCCGAGGCAUGUUCGAAGUGGCGUGAGGCCAGGUGGGCCGAGUCACAAUCGAGACCCGUGGGCGCUGUUUCUGUACGCUUUAAGUGAAUUGGUUGCGUAUUUUCUAACAGCUCGAGCUUUUGGGAUUAAUGGUUAGCUCCAACGAUUCGACAAGUGGUAUCAGAGCCAGAGGUCACGGGUUCGAUUCCUACAUACUGCAAAUAUGUGCAGGUGCUGGAGGGGGGAUUGUUGGCUUAAAUGGGCCAGCAUCCUGCCCUGUGGCGGGAGGCCAUGUGGGCCGAGUCAUGUUUGAAAUGGCGUGAGGCUGGGUUGGGCCGAGUCACGUUCGAAGUGGCGUGAGGCCAGGUGGGCCGAGUCACAAUCGAGACCCGUGAGCGCUGUUUCUGUACGCUUUAAGUGAAUUGGUUGCGUAUUUUCUAACAGCUCGAGCUUUUGGGCUUAAUGGUUAGCGCCAACGAUCCGACAAUAUAUACAAACAGAAGCUCUAUU
rnacentral:lncRNA from 1 species